rnacentral:tRNA from 1 species
AAAGUAGCUUAGCUUGGUAGAGCGCCUGGUUUGGGACCAGGAGGUCGCAGGUUCAAAUCCUGUCUUU